rnacentral:rRNA from 1 species
GGAGGGUGCAAGCGUUAAUCGGAAUUACUGGGCGUAAAGCGCACGCAGGUGGCUGAGUCAGUCGAUUGUGAAAGCCCUGGGCUUAACCUGGGAAUUGCAGUCGAUACUACUCAGCUAGAGUAUGGGAGAGGGCAGUGGAAUUCCCGGUGUAGCGGUGAAAUGCGUAGAUAUCGGGAGGAACAUCGAGUGGCGAAGGCGGCUGCCUGGCCCAAUACUGACACUCAGGUGCGACAGCGUGGGGAGCAA